CAUUAACAGCCUGUUCCACGAUGUCGAAAGAACACGUUCGCACAACUUUUACACGACAAACAGCUGAUUUCCGUUCCACUAAAAUCCAUCAGAACGAAAAUUUGCACGAAAAUCAAAGCGAACGAAAACGUAAGCGUUUCAGUGUAAUUUUGCGUUCCACUAUCUUUUUUCUUUCGUACGCAUGCGAACACAAAUGUCAAAAUCAGUCACUUGUGUGUUUGCUGUCGAAUGAUAAAAAUUAAGGAAAAUUGUUUUAACAUAAACAUUCCUUGAUUGAAAAUGGAAAGAAAAAUCACGAAAAAACUACACAGCUGCGGGCACUAGUUGAGUAUAUGGGGGAGAAUCCAAAGUUCGCCAGAGGAGUGCCAAUUUUUGGAAGCAGCAGGCAAUCCCAUGAAGACCACUGGAAGACACAAACCUAGAAAAAAUCAUUUUUUUAUUAUUUUAAAAAUGUAAAAAUACAAUCAUACUUACUGGUUGUUAGGUACUUCAAAUAAAUUCGAAGCAUAUCUUAAA